AUGUACAUUCCUGCAACAUGGCGUUAAUGCACCAGAUCCCAUUAGAACUCUAUAGUUAAGAACGAUCAGGCUAGAUUAGUAUGUGCAUGGGUGACCACUCGAGAAGUCCUAGUGUUUUACAUG
rnacentral:rRNA from 1 species